AUGCACGUUACGAAGAAUAUUUGCGUGAACCUCCUAAGCUUCUUGGGCGUGUAUGGGAAGACAAAUGAUACAAAGGAAGCACGGCAGGACCAGCAACGUUUGAAAGACCCUGAUGACCGGCAUCCGGAAUGGUUUCAAGGUCGUGCCAGCUACGCUCUGACCAAAGAAGAGAAGGUCAUCUUUUUUGAAUGCCUGAGCAGUAUGAAGGUCCCGUCUGGAUUCUCGUCCAAUAUAAAGGGAAUAAUAAACAUGGCGGAGAAAAAGUUCCAAAACCUGAAGUCUCACGACUGCCACGUGAUUAUGACGCAAUUGCUUCCGAUUGCUUUGAGGGGGCUCCUGCCGGAAAAUGUUCGAGUAGCCAUUGUGAAGCUAUGUGCAUUCCUCAAUGCAAUCUCUCAGAAGGUAAUCAAUCCAGAAGUUCUACCACGGUUACAGAACGAUGUGAUCCAAUGUCUUGUCAGUUUCGAGUUGGUGUUCCCGCCAUCCUUCUUCAAUAUUAUGACGCACCUCCUGGUUCACCUAGUCGAAGAGAUUUUCGUUCUCGGUCCUGUAUUUCUACACAAUAUGUUCCUCUUCGAGAGGUUCAUGGGAGUAUUAAAGAAAUAUGUU
rnacentral:rRNA from 1 species